CUACCCGGGUAUCUAAUCCUGUUUGCUCCCCACGCUUUCGCGCCUCAGCGUCAGAAAUUGGCCAGCAAGGCGCCUUCGCCACAGGUGUUCCUCCACAUAUCUACGCAUUUCACCGCUACACGUGGAAUUCCCCUUGCCUCUCCAAUUCUCAAGCGAUCCCGUAUCCAAGGCAGUCCCGGAGUUGAGCUCCGGGCUUUCACCCCAGACGUAGAUCGCCGCCUGCGCGCGCUUUACGCCCAGUGAUUCCGGACAACGCUUGCCACCUACGUAUUACCGCGGCUGCUGGCAC
rnacentral:rRNA from 1 species